GAUGAAGAACGUAGCGAAAUGCGAUAAGUAAUGUGAAUUGCAGAAUUCAGUGAAUCAUCGAAUCUUUGAACGCACAUUGCGACCGCGAGUAUUCUCGCGGGCAUGCCUGUCCGAGCGUCAUUUCAACCCUCAGGGCCCGCCUGCUUGCAGGCGCGGCGCUGGUGUUGGGGAUCGGCUACCCUGCCGUCCCCCAAAUACAGUGGCGGUCUCGCUGCAGCCUCCCCUGCGUAGUAGCAACACUCGCAUGCGGAGCGCGGCGCGGCCACGCCGUAAAACCCCCGACUUUCUGAACGUUGACCUCGGAUCAGGUAGGAAUACCCGCUGAACUUAAGCAUAUCAAUAAGCGGAGGA
rnacentral:misc_RNA from 1 species